rnacentral:rRNA from 1 species
UACGGGGGGGGCAAGCGUUGUUCGGAAUUACUGGGCGUAAAGGGCUCGUAGGUGGUCAACUAAGUCGGACGUGAAAUCCCUCGGCUUAACCGGGGAACUGCGUCCGAUACUGGAUGACUUGAGUUCGGGAGAGGGAUGCGGAAUUCCCAGUGUAGCGGUGAAAUGCGUAGAUAUUGGGAGGAACACCAGUGGCGAAGGCGGUUCUCUGGGCAUGUCCUGACGCUGAGGAGCGAAAGUGUGGGGAGCGAACAGG